GACGGAAGGUGCAAGCGUUGCUCGGAAUCACUGGGCGUAAAGGGUGCGUAGGUGGUCCGUUAAGUUCGUUGUGAAAGCCCUGGGCUCAACCCAGGAACUGCUUCGAAUACUGGCGGACUUGAGGCUAGUAGGGGUUACUGGAACUGACGGUGGAGCGGUGAAAUGCGUAGAUAUCGUCAGGAACGCCAAUGGUGAAGACAGGUAACUGGGCUAGUUCUGACACUGAGGCACGAAAGCGUGGGGAGCGAACGGG
rnacentral:rRNA from 1 species